GGGUAACCUGCCCAAGAGAUCGGGAUAACACCUGGAAACAGAUGCUAAUACCGGAUAACAACAGAUGAUGCCUAUCAACUGUUUAAAAGAUGGUUCUGCUAUCACUCUUGGAUGGACCUGCGGUGCAUUAGCUAGUUGGUAGGGUAACGGCCUACCAAGGCGAUGAUGCAUAGCCGAGUUGAGAGACUGAUCGGCCACAUUGGGACUGAUACACGGCCCAAACUCCUACGGGAGGCAGCAGUU
rnacentral:rRNA from 1 species